GAGAUGCUGGUGAAUCUGUCGCAUCACCGUAACUAUCGCUUUGCAAACUGUUGCAUGUUUGGACUGCUGUCGUGUCAGCCGCGGCGCGGAUGGCAGCGUGCUGAGAGCGGAGCCGGGAAACCGUGCUGGAAGGAUGUCAGACCGCGUUGUUUCUCUGAAGGCUGCCAUGUUCUCAUCUGUCUCCACAUCAGAGAGGAAAGCAGAUGGUUUUGUAACAGAAGCUGCAGGGGAUCAGCAGAGUAGCAAUUUCAUGACGACCAAAAUAUGUACAUGGUGAACACGAGAAGAAAGGCUGAGAGGGAAAGAGGGAUCAAGAGCAAGCUGGAGAGAUGAAAUGAAGACAAAUACGACGAGGAAAGAGCGGGAAAGGUAUCUAGGUCGGCCCAUCGUAGGAAAUCCAGACACAACAUUCGGAGCGCCAGGAUCUACACCAAGUCUGGAAGGACGGCUGUUUGAAAUUCCUGUCUGGUUAGGAUGAGACCGUGUGGAGAGGUGAGACAGCUGAUGGGGAGUUUGUACUUCACACUAGGUGUCCCAAUCUGACCUUUUACUCCAAGAUAUUUUAAAUUAAACCCAGGAAAA